rfam:Schistosoma mansoni strain Puerto Rico chromosome 6, complete genome
AUUCAGUUGACUAGUCCCAAAUAGGACGGAACGCGCGUCCUGGAU